UUACGGUCAAAUCACGCUGAAAACACCGGUUCUCGUACGAUCACCGAAGUUAAGCAUCGUAGAGCCAGGUCAGUACUUAGAUGGGGGACCGCUUGGGAACACCUGGUACUGUAAG
rnacentral:rRNA from 1 species